GCAAGUCGAGCGGAAACGAAGAAAAGCUUGCUUUUCAGGCGUCGAGCGGCGGACGGGUGAGUAACGCGUAGGAAUCUGCCUAGUAGUGGGGGACAACCUGUGGAAACGCAGGCUAAUACCGCAUACGCCCUACGGGGGAAAGGAGGGGAUCUUCGGACCUUUCGCUAUUAGAUGAGCCUGCGUGAGAUUAGCUAGUUGGUGGGGUAAAGGCUCACCAAGGCGACGAUCUCUAGCUGGUCUGAGAGGAUGAUC
rnacentral:rRNA from 1 species